rnacentral:lncRNA from 1 species
AGGCUGGCAAAUGGAGUUUGCCAUCCUCUGACUACAGCCAUUCUGAGGACUGGAAAGGAUACCCUGAGAAGUGGCCUAUUUUAUUUCUGCUGGAAGCUGGAUGCUUCCUGCCCUCGAAAAUCAGACUCCAAGUUCUUCAACUCUGGGACUCGGACCUUUGAACACAGACUGAAGGCUGCACUGUCGGCUUCCUUACUUUUGAGGCUUUGGGACUUGGACUGACUUCCUGGAUCCUCAGCUUGCAGAUGGCCUAUUGUGGGACCUCACCU